rnacentral:ncRNA from 1 species
CUAAUAACUAUGAACUUCGUAGCUUCACAUAGUAAUAUGUGUCGAAAAACUUUUCUAAACAGGGAAGCCUAAGUCUAUUAGAUAUGGUAAUCCUGUGCUAAAUCAGAUUAAUAAUCUGUAAAUGCCAAACGACUAACUGAAACCUACUUGAUAAUUCAAGGGGAGUAAGUGUAGAGCCAAGCGGUAGAAGUUUUAAGUAAUUAUUAUGUAAAUCUUCUUUAAAUCGAAAAGAAAAGAGUCCUUUUUUAGGAUUGUGAUAUAGUCUGAACAUAUAUGGAAACAUAUAG